ACGUACACUCCUACGGGAGGCAGCAGUGGGGAAUUUUGGACAAUGGGCGAAAGCCUGAUCCAGCCAUGCCGCGUGCAGGAUGAAGGCCUUCGGGUUGUAAACUGCUUUUGUACGGAACGAAACGGCCUUUUCUAAUAAAGAGGGCUAAUGACGGUACCGUAAGAAUAAGCACCGGCUAACUACGUGCCAGCAGCCGCGGUAAUACGUAGGGUGCAAGCGUUAAUCGGAAUUACUGGGCGUAAAGCGUGCGCAGGCGGUUAUGUAAGACAGUUGUGAAAUCCCCGGGCUCAACCUGGGAACUGCAUCUGUGACUGCAUAGCUAGAGUACGGUAGAGGGGGAUGGAAUUCCGCGUGUAGCAGUGAAAUGCGUAGAUAUGCGGAGGAACACCGAUGGCGAAGGCAAUCCCCUGGACCUGUACUGACGCUCAUGCACGAAAGCGUGGGGAGCAAACAGGAUUAGAUACCCGAGUAGUCC
rnacentral:rRNA from 1 species